UGAGGAAUAUUGGUCAAUGGGCGAGAGCCUGAACCAGCCAAGUAGCGUGCAGGAUGACGGCCCUAUGGGUUGUAAACUGCUUUUAUAUGGGAAUAAAGUGAGGGACGUGUCCCUUAUUGCAUGUACCAUAUGAAUAAGGACCGGCUAAUUCCGUGCCAGCAGCCGCGGUAAUACGGAAGGUCCAGGCGUUAUCCGGAUUUAUUGGGUUUAAAGGGAGCGUAGGCUGUUUGUUAAGCGUGUUGUGAAAUGUAGGAGCUCAACUUUUAGAUUGCAGCGCGAACUGGCAGACUUGAGUGCGCACAACGUAGGCGGAAUUCAUGGUGUAGCGGUGAAAUGCUUAGAUAUCAUGACGAACUCCGAUUGCGAAGGCAGCUUACGGGAGCGCAACUGACGCUAAAGCUCGAAGGUGCGGGUAUCGAACAGG
rnacentral:rRNA from 1 species